UGGGGAAUUUUGGACAAUGGGCGAAAGCCUGAUCCAGCAAUGCCGCGUGUGUGAAGAAGGCCUUCGGGUUGUAAAGCACUUUUGUCCGGAAAGAAAUCCUUGGCUCUAGUACAGUCGGGGGAUGACGGUACCGGAAGAAUAAGCACCGGCUAACUACGUGCCAGCAGCCGCGGUAAUACGUAGGGUGCAAGCGUUAAUCGGAAUUACUGGGCGUAAAGCGUGCGCAGGCGGUUUGCUAAGACCGAUGUGAAAUCCCCGGGCUCAACCUGGGAACUGCAUUGGUGACUGGCAGGCUAGAGUAUGGCAGGAGGGGGGUAGAAUUCCACGUGUAGCAGUGAAAUGCGUNGAGAUGUGGAGGAAUACCGAUGGCGAAGGCAGCCCCCUGGGCCAAUACUGACGCUCAUGCACGAAAGCGUGGGGGAGCAAACAGGAUUAGAUACCCUGGUAGUCCACGCCCUAAACGAUGUCAACUAGUUGUUGGGGAUUCAUUUCCUUAGUAACGUAGCUAA
rnacentral:rRNA from 1 species